AGAUUGAGUUGGGGAGGUCUGAUGUAUCAAGUCUAUAAUGUGUUUGUAGCCGUUUCAAUGACUAUUUUGUCUCAGCUGUGAAAUACAAGUAAGUUGAUGUUGAAGCAUUGUGUUUUGUCAUCCUGGUAACUGUUGUGUGCAAAAAGGAGAAGACAGACAGGUUCGAGCCGCAUUAAGGCACCUUUAAUACAGCAACGCCGUCCUUGUGAACGUGCCUCCUUUGUGAUUUGAUCCUUUGGUGACCUCACAGAGAACACAAAGGUAAAACUUCACACUUGUACACACAAAGGUCGUGCUUUUUUCUUGUGGCAUUUGGACCAGAUUCUAUCUGGUCUGUCCAGAUGUAUUCUGCCUGAUGCUGCAGGACAUCCUGUGGGAAGACAAUUCUUAAAAAAAAAAAAAAAAAGUUUAAACGUUCCCAAGAUUUUGUGCAUUUAGUUCUUUUGAAGUGUUACAAUAAAGUUUUGGAACUGCUUAACUAUA